UACGUAGGCAGCAAGCGUUGUUCGGAAUUACUGGGCGUAAAGAGUGUGUAGGCGGUGCUCUAAGUCUGUCGUGAAAUCUCCCGGCUUAACUGGGAGGGUGCGGCGGAAACUGGAAUGCUAGAGGGUGGGAGAGGAAAGCGGAAUUCCUGGUGUAGCGGUGAAAUGCGCAGAUAUCAGGAAGAACACCCGUGGCUAAGGCGGCUCUCUAGUACGGUACUGACGCUGAGACGCGAAAGCGUGGGGAGCGAACAGG
rnacentral:rRNA from 1 species